GCGAGUCCCUAACCCGCAUACACCCCCCACACCAGACACCCCUACUCCUCCUUCGAAACACACACUCAAGCCCUAGGGUUCCCCAAACGGCCAAACCUAAAACCCAGCAACCCAGCUUCGUCAAUUGAACCGCCGCCGCCGUUCGUGGUUGUCGGCGUCUCUGCGGCCUCCUCCUUCCCUUGUCCCAAAUCCAUACGGCCAGACCUUCUCUUCUAGGCUUUCUAGCUCGGCACGUCGUCCUGUCUUCGUCGGUGACUUCGCUGUUCGAGGCUUCCAGCUGCUACGCCGUCGUCGUCCUGCUGUCAGUGGAAGAUGGAAGUAUUAAUCAAGAAGCAGUUGCUGAUAACAAUACAUCUUUGAGUUUAGAGCAAAGAAGCUCCUCGAGCAGGCAACAUUGUUGAACAGAUUGUGGUUCAAAUCAGAGUGGUCUUGGCAUUUGUUGGGGAGAAUAGAGCACUGCAAGGUUACUCAUCUGCACUGUGGAUUGUUCAGCAGCGGCUCCGAAAAGAGCACCGUUGUGUCCCUCAUAGAGAGAUUCUAUGACCGUUUAUCAGGACAAAUUUUGCUAGAUGGGAAUGAUGUUAAGAGUUUGAAGCCAAAAUGGCUGAGGCAGCAAAUAGGACUAGUGAGCCAAGAACUGGCUUUGUUUGCGACAACAUUCAGAAGCUGACCAAGUUGAGAUUGAAGAAGCUGCAAGAGUAGCCAAGUUUAUAAUUUAUUUAUGGGUAAAGUAUAUUUUCUGUCCCUGAAGUUUGAUAAAAGUUUUAAAAAUACCCCUAAGUUUUAUUUUGUUUCAAUUUUAUCCCAAAAGUUUUCGAUUUGCAUCAAAUAUAUCCUUGACGGCUAAUUUUUCAAAAAAUUUAAGACCAAUUCAAUAACAAUUUCAUAAGAACAACCCUCAACACAAGUAAAUCAAGCAUAAUUUUCAUGCGUUAUUAUUAGAUUGAUCUUAAAUUUUUUUAAAAUUUAGCCGUCGAGGGUAUGUUUGAUGCAAAUCGAAAACUUCUGGGACAAAAUUGAAACAAAAUAAAACUUAGGGAUAUUUUUGAAACUUUUGCCAAACUUCAGGGACAAAAAGUAUACUUUACCCUUUAUUUAUUUUAUUCUAAAACGAUUUUUCUGGUUGAACUACGGUUAGACCAAUAAAUCAGUAAAUCAGUGAUUAGAACGGUUUGAUAACCGAUCCGGUUCUCAGAACCUUGAUAUAAUCACCGAUAUUUAUUUUUAAAAAUGUCUGAUUAAAAUAUGAUUGUGGUACGGAAUUUGAAAAUUUGGAAUGUCAUUAUUCAUAUGCAAACUUUGUAGAGCAUUAUUAUGCUGAUGUUAAGAAAACCAAAAAAUUGAUCAAAUCCUAAUCUUUCAAAAACUUC